UGCUGCCAUGUCUGACACUGGGACUGGGGUACAUACAGCAGGGGCUCUGCUAAAGACUGUUGAAUGAAUAAAUGCGUGAGGCCUCAGUGGGCCUGAAGGUAUUAGCUAAACUUUCUACCCAUCAGGGUCUCAGGAUUCUGGGGCUAUGACCACUGCCACUACUAACAAUUUCUUCCACCAGCAGAAUAAGUAGCUCCCAAUUACUGAGCAUUUAGCGUGUGCCAGGCAUCGGGGUAAGCAUUUCUCUGUGCCAUCUUGCUCCCACCUUUCACCCAUCCUAUGGGGUGGGUGUUCUGUGAGUGUCCUCAUAUCACAGGUGGGGAAAUGAGCUCCACCGGGAGCCGUGGUAGAACCUGCACUGGCCCAUCAGAGCUCACAGCCUUUUUCCACGCCAAGUGAGGGUGGGUGGUUGGAGCCCAGAACAGGGGGCACCUGUCAUCCCUUCCAGAAUUUGCCUUUUUCCAUUGCCUCCCUGUAGAACUUCUCUCCUCCCUUGAAGACUUUGCUUCUCCUAGAACCUCUCUCAGACUCAUCAGUCUCCUUCCCAAGUUCCGUGCAACCUGGAAAUCCUUUCCCUGGAAGAUGCUGGGUCUUCAUCUGCUCCCACGUCUGGAGAGGCAACAACCGAGGCUCAGAAGUCAGCUGCUGGGCUGGGAGAUGGCAUCAGGCCUUCUGAUGGGGGAGCGCGCCCAGAGUCAGGGGGCGCAGCUGGGACGGGGGCGCAGGGCCGCGAGUGGGCGUCCGCGUCAUCGCCUCCGCCGCAGGGCGCGGAGCCCGGGUCUCUGCAGCGAGCGCGCCAGGUGAGUGGGUGUCGAGGAACCGCCAGGCAGCGGAGAAAACAGGACGCCGCAGAAAUCAGA
ensembl:lncRNA